rnacentral:lncRNA from 1 species
CCAGAAUCAGCAUGAAGUUUUACAUUAAUAUCUAAAGGACAAACAACAGAGGAUACAUUGGUACAGUCAAACUGAUGCAGCAAAUCACAAACAUAUUUAUGCUGAUUAAGGAUCAUACCACCAGGAACAACUGACAUUUCUAUGCCCAAAAAAUAAUGCAAAGACCCUAGGUCUUUGAUUUUAAAGUGAUCAUCCAGAAAUAGUUUCAGGGCAGUAAGUUCAUCAUUGUCAUCCCCAGUAAGAAUAAUAUCAUCCGCAAAGACCUUAGGUCUUUGAUUUUAAACUGAUCAUCCAGAAACAGUUUCAGGGCAGUAAGUUUAUCACUGUCAUCCCCAGUAAGAAUAAUAUCAUCCACAUAGAUUGCCACAACCACAAGGGACCCAGGUUUACCUUUGAUGAACAAAGAAUAGUCAUUCAAAGAAUAGAGACUGUCAAACCUGAGGGAAGUUUCAUAUAAACUUCCUCAUCCAAAUCACCAUGGAGAAAAGCAUUAUUAACAUCAAGUUGAAAGAGAGGCCAGUGAUUCUUGACAGCCACAUCAAUAAGACAUUUCACAGUGGUCAUCUUAAUCACAGGAGAAAAGGUGUCAGUAAAAUUAAUCCCUUCAACUUGAGUAUCACCCCUAAUAACAAGCCUAGCCUUAUACCUUUCAACAGAACCAUCAGCCUUGUAUUUGAU